rnacentral:piRNA from 1 species
UAGAAGAGAAACAUUAGAUAAUUCAUUU